rnacentral:tRNA from 1 species
GCAGUCCUGGCUCAGGGGUAGAAUUCUUGCCUUCCAUGCAGGACAUCCAGGUUCAAUUCCUGGCCAGUGCA